rnacentral:lncRNA from 1 species
GAGAAUUUGGCUAUGAUAUACAGAUUUCAAAUUGGCUAGCCAUCAAUAGGUGUUAACUAUUUGACAUGCAGUGAUUAUUCAUAGUUUACACACUGGACGACAUGCAAGAAACAAAGAUAAUCUUCUCUUUCUGGGUUUCCAUAUUUUGAAUAAAGCAAUGUACAGGGAGAAUGCACCGAAACAGAAUCACUCAAAGAAAAUUCUCACCCUUGGCACUUACACUCUGUUUUUUUAACUAUCAUUACCUGGCAGUUCAAGUUCCAGUAUUGUCAUAUAGAGGAGUAAGGUACUAACUUGAAGUGAAGAAAUAUUUGAGUAACUGAAUAUAGAUUUAACUGUAAUAUAGGCUGAACAUAUAGUGUCUGAAAGCCAAACAAGGACAAGAAUACAUGAAAUUCAAUGUUUCUAAACACA